AAAUUAAGGGCUCAACCCCUGCUCCGGAGCCCAAAGCCACACGACUCCCUCUCUUUCUGAGCCCCAAAACCAGCCACACGAGCCUGUUUGCCAGCCCCGGGAACACAAGACCCGCUCUGCGUGUCGGGCCCCGAAGCAGCUCACCCUCUCUGCUUCCCCACUCCCCCUGCAUCUUCCCGGGGCCAUGCCAAAGGGCGGGGGGACCGAGGCCACCCCACAGCCCGGCACCCCCAGGGCCCCACGGCCAGCUUCGGGGAGCGCUGGGUAACUGCGAUGGGACCGUCCCCGCGUCUCUGCGGGGCGGCACCGGCACGGCCCGGACGCCGCUUUCUUGUCGCCGUUUCGGGCUUCGUUUCUCCGGCAACGCCAGCACCACACCGCAAACCUCCCAGGGCGUCGGGAGCCCACGAGGAGCCGGGACCACCCACCCCCCUCCGACCCUACAACGGCCCCCUCAGGGCCCCUAUUCCCCCAGCUCCACUCAGGGUCGACACGACCAGUCAGAGCACUGUGAUGGACCAACCCUCCCUCCCUUCCGCCCGGGGGCAGUUGCCAUGGUGAAGUCGCACCGGCGCGGGGCCGUGGCGACAGGGCUGUUACGGUCCGGCCUGACGACGAGCAAUUCACGCAAAUCUAGCUUUUUCUCCUUAAAAAAUGUAUACAUUUGUGUGCGACAGCACAAAAUAAACCCGUAUCCGCCUCCUUCUCCUCUUACCUUCCGUCCGCUCUCGAGUAACUCCCUGGGGCUGCCCGGCCCCGGCUCGCCUCCUGCACCCCGGCAGCCUGUCGCAGCGGCCGGUUUGAAGCUUCCCGCCCCACCGCCCCUGGGCGGCCAGAGGGGAGGAGAUACUCCUGCCCCCGCCGAAGGGGCUCGCUCGCUUCCCCAGUGGUCUCGGCCCUCCCCUGCCGCCAAGGGUGGCGCCCGGCGACCGCCCGUGCGGGGCCAGCGCUGCAGAACGACGCUUGGGCCGCAGCGAGGCGGGCGAUACCAAGGAGCGCGCCGAGCCGAGCGCACGGGAGGCGGGGCCGGGGCCUGAGAGGGCGGGAGGCGGGGCCGGGGAGGGCGGGGCCUGGAAGGGCGUGGCCUGAGAGGG
rnacentral:lncRNA from 1 species